UUGAUAGAGGGAAACAAGACGCAUUCCUAGUUUCAACAUUACUUAUUCUUCAGACAUUCUGCUUUAAAAUACAUUAAGUAUCAGCUGUAUACAAAGUGACCAUGACCAACAUUUGGUUUUCAAGUGCUGAAAUGUAAUAUUCAACAAUCUGAAAAUGGAGCCUCACUGAGGUCCCCAUAUCUCUGGGACUGAACAAUGUAGGGCCUUGAAAAUGAAGAUUCCAAAAGAAAAUCAUAUUUUUGCAAAUUGACUCACAUUUGGUUUUUGACCACUGAAAAUAUGUACAUUUUAACAAUUUACAUCUGAAGCCAUAUUAAAAUUCCAAUAUCUCUGGAACCGAACUAUAUAGGGCCUUAAAAAUGGAGAUGUCAAACGGAAUGUUUGUUAAGACCCAAUAUGUAAAAGGGCAUCAAGAUAUCUUUAUACUUCUUGAGUUACAGGCAUGCAAACUUUGGAGAAAAAAACUUGAAAAGUGCUGUUUCCCCAGGUCACCAUUGGCACAUAAUGCAAAAAAGAUUGCUAAAGUGAACAGAUUUUACUAACAUGCCUACCAAUCUCUGUGUAAAAAUUACAUUAUGAUGCUGCCAUUUUUCUGAAGCCAUUUUUACCCCCUGUAAUUUGGCUCUGAAUCUCAGGUGAAAAUGGCCAUUUUGACCCCCUCUACAAAAUAGUGGAUUACUUAGUAAAUAUUCAUCCAUGACAUUUAAUAUUUUGGCUUUCAUCACUAUACAUGUCUGUCUGUCUUCAGAAAAAAAUAUUAGCAAAAUCAAAAAUUUGAACUGGGGACCUCUGGUUGAGUUGACACAUAAUGACCCUGUUUCACAAUCCAAAAUAAUCCUGCUGCACUGGGCCAAGAUGUAAACAUGUUAGUCCAACAAAAUGUAGAUAUACAACACAAACUUUCAGAGAAAAAGGCUAGGCCAGUAACCAACCUAAAAAAAAAUAACAAAGACCCUAACGCAUGAACCCUGUCAACAUUUUUACAGCACACUCAACACCAAACGAGCAACUCUUGGCUGGGAACAUGACACAAUGUCUCAAUAAAAAAGAGUUAAAAGUAAUAGGCUCAGAAAUGAGGAAAAGGGAUUCCAUUCACUCUGACAUCAUGAUAUAAAUAUAGUUAAUGCAGACAAUAAUCAAGGAAUGUGCCACAAAAUACCAGGCUACAUACAACUUUUCAGUAUGAAUCUGUUCAUUGAUCAUUUGUACACAGAGUAUGUCAUCAGCAUUCUCUUGCAUCAUUUGCAAAGUAGGUCUCCUGUGUCUUUCUAUCUUGAUGCCACGGGAGGAGUUGUGUCAAAAAUACCAGAACAGCUGAAGCAUUAAUGAAAUUAUGACACUUAUUUCCAUACAGUUGAACUGAUUUAUUUGAACUUAAAUUUAGUUAAUUGUACUGAUGAGUAAAAAUCAUGCUAAUUUAAUGAGAUCACAUCAGUUUCAUUUCACAUAUUCUGUGAAUGUUCUCAACACAAUUCACUCACAUAGAUCCACCCAGUACUGUUGAUGUUCAGACUUUGAAGAGUUGUGAGUUUUCUGCAUUUUUAUAAAAAUGGAGAAACCCGUUGGAAUUUAAUGUUUACUUUUUUCAAACAUUUAACAUAUAUAUGUUUUUUAACCAUUGUGGUGAAGAGUGGAGUUUAUGCUUAGAUUAUCAGUAGUUACUAUAAGCGUUAUAUAAUUGGGAAGAGUAGAAAUGCUGACCAUAUAAGUCAUGUGAUUAGCUUUAAAUUGAUAUAUUUUAGUUAUGCUCAUAAGAACAAACAGCCAACAUAAUACUUGCUCUCACAUCAAACUUUUUCAGCCUGCAAAUGAGCUAAAACAAACCAAAAAAGGUUAUCAACUCAUUGAGAACAACAGUUUUAGCUCAUGUAGCCAUAGCCUAACCACAAGGCCUACACUUCACAAUAAUGGUAACCUCAAAAAUCGGCAUAAACAAAAACUCUUUUAAAUGUCAAAAAUAGCUGAACAACAAACUUUAAUAAGUUUUUCCCUUUACUAAAAAAACACAUUAAGCAGUACUUAAUUUACAGAUUUACACUCCUGAUCUAGCCCUAUGCAAAGCAUGCUGGGAACUAGAAAUCCACUUCCCAGUUUCAGGAUUUACAGAAGUUUGUGUUAUGUUGGUUUUGUAGUGUUACCGUUGUCGUGAAGAGUAGAGCCUGUGGUUAGGUUCAGGAUGGACAGCAAAACUUUAAGAUUGUGUGUGCUUUAUGUUCUUUGACUAUUUACAUGUAAAUGUAUAAUGAGAACAUUUUUGAUUGUCACGUUAGUAUAUGCUGUUGAUAAUUAACAACAAAAAGCAAAAGAUCAUUGUGAACACAAUGUUUAUGUAAACAAACCACAUAUUUAUGUUUAAUCAUUUAGCAAACACUUUUAUCCAAAGCAACUUACAAGUGAGGACAGUAGAAGUAAUCAAAACCAACAAAAGAGCAAUAAAAUGCAAGUGCUGUGAGAAGUCGUGGUUAGCCUAACGCAGUACACGUCAAGUCAAAUCACCUUUAUUUAUAUAGCGCUUUUAACAAUACAGAUUGUGUCAAAGCACUUAACAGUAUCAAAUUGGAGGACAGAGUGUCAGUAAUGUAUAAUGAUAAGAUUAAAUACUCAAUUUUCAGUUAAAGGCAUUUCAUUAAUGAAUUCAGAGAUGUCAUUGUCUAGCUCAGUUUAGUUUAAAUAGUGUCUAUGCAAUCAAAUGGACGAUAAUCGCUGUAAAUUAAUACACAUAACAAGGUGUGUGUUUUUUAUAUACAUAUAUAUAUAUAUAUAUAUAUAGAUAGAUAGAUAGAUAGAUAGAUAGAUAGAUUUGGAAUAGAGUGAGUUAGAGGGUCAAAUAUAGAUGGACGAGAUGUGUUUUUAGCCGAUUCUUGAAGAUGGCUAAGGACUCAGCUGCUCAAAUUGAGUUGGGCAGGUCAUUCCACCAGGAGGGAACAGUUAAUGUAAAAGUCCGUGAAAGUGAUUUAGUGCCUCUUUGGGAUGGCACAAUAAUGUGUCGUUCACUUGCAGAACGCAAGCUUCUAGAGGGUACGUAAGUCUGAAGUAGUGAAUUUAGGUAAAGGGGUGCCGAGCCAGUGGUGGUUUUGUAGGCAAACAUCAAUGUCUUGAAUUGUAUGUGAGCAGCUAUUGGUAGCCAGUGCAAAUUGAUGAACAGAGACAUGACAUGCGUUCUUUUCGGCUCAUUAAAAAUUAAUCUUGCUGCCAUGUUCUGGAUUAAUUGUACAGGUUUAAUAGAACUGUCUGGAAGACCUGCCAAGAGAGCAUUGCAAUAGUCCAGCCUGGACAGAACAAGAGCCUGAACAAGGAGUUGUGUUGCAUGUUCCAAAAGAAAGAGCCUGAUCUUGCCAAUGUUGAAUAAAGCAAAUCUGCAGGACUGGGUAGUUUUAGCAAUGUGGUCUGAGAAAGUGAGCUGAUCAAUCACAACUCCAAGGUUUCUGGCUGUUUUUGAAGGAGUGAUGGUUGAUGUGUCUAACUGGAUGGUGACAUUGUGAUGAAGUGGUUGGUUAGAUGGAACCACAAGCUGUUCUGUCUUGGCAAGGUUGAGUUGAAGGUGAUGGUCCUUCAUCCAGCAAGAAAUGUCUGUUAGACAAGCUGAGAUGCAAGCAGCUAUCAUCAGAUCAUCAGGAUGGAAUGAGAGGUAGAGUUGAGUGUCAUCAGCAUAGCAGUGAUAUGAAAAGCCAUGUUUCUGAAUGACAAAAUGUAGACAGUGAUUCCAUGUAGACAGAGAAUAUAAGUGGUCCAAGAACUGAGCCCUGAGGCACCCCAGCAGCUAGAUGUUAGGACUUGGACCCCCCCCCCAAGAUACCUUGAAGGACCUGUCUGAGAGGUAAUUGUCAAACCACUGGAGGGCGGUUCCUGAGAUGCCCUUUGCCAAUAGGGUUGACAGGAGGAUCUGGUGGUUGACCAUAUCAAAAGAAGUGGACAAAUCCAGCUAGUUAAGUAAUGGAGAUUUGGAAACCGCUCUUGCCAGUCUUAGGGCUUCAACAACUGAGAGCAAGGCAGUCUCGGUUUAAUGUCCACUUCUGAAACCAGCCUGGUUGCUGUAGAGGAGGUUGUUCUGUGUGAGAAAGGCAGAGACUUGGUUGAACACAACUCGUUCAAGAGUUUUUGCUAUGAAAGGAAGAAGGGAAAAGAGUUCUUUAAAAGAGUUGGGUUAAGAGUGGGUUUCUUAAGUAGUGGGGUUAUACGAGCCUGUCUAAAUGCUGAGGGAAAAACACCAGUGUGAAUGAGAUGAAAUAUGAUGAGAUGAAAUAGAAUCAAGUGGACAAGUAGUAGGAUGAUUUAGGAAGGAUGAGUUUAGAGACUUCUGACUCAGAGAGUGGAGAGAAGGAUGUGAAAGAGUGUAUGUUUGUUGGUAAGAUGUGUUUGACAGUUUGAGUAAGAGAUGCUAACUGUUUAGAGCGAGGAAGCAAAGAUGAAAGUAAAACAGAGAGCCUGGAGGGUGAAUGUGAGCCUAGUUUACAUCGAAAGAUGACAUGCGGAGGGGUAUGUGUUAUGUCAGGAACCAUGUUGAGGUUAAGAGUGAGCAGGAAGUGAUCUCAGGUGUGCAGUGGGGUAACCAGCACAUGAUCAGUGGAGCAGUGUCCUGAGAAUUAAUGAGAAAUUAUUGAAUUAAAUGAAAGAUUAUUAAAUAUAUAAUUAUCAUUGUAAUGCAUGGGGUGGGACUGAGAACCAUGAACGUGAGGCUUUGUGGCUCCUACGGCCCACAGCCCCUCCCCUCUUGUCCCAAAAAUUUUAAGUGAACGUGACGUGACGUGACGUGACGUGACGUGGCCAAGUAUGGUUACCCAUACUCGGAAUUUGUGUUCUGCAAUUAACCCAUCCAAAUUGCACACACACAGCAGUGAACGAAUGAACACACAGUGCAAAUGACAACUGAGCCACCUAUGAACCUUGAUCAGUCUCAAGAAACUUGGAUGAAGAAGAACAAACAUUUCCCAUCCACCAAUUCCAAAUGAUUUUCUGUUCCACAAAAAAAAAACAUGUUCCCCCCAAAAAAGGAUCCACAAGUAUGUGACACAGAGCAAGAAAUGUUCAAGUUUUGAUGCAUGUCAGCUUCCUGCAAAGGUACUCAAUGUAGAGGAAGAGGUAAUUAAAUCAUUAUACAAAAAUGAAAACUAUUUAUUUAUUGCAUAUAUUAAGGUACACUAUUAUUUACUGUAUGAACUGCAUGUAAUUAUAGGUCGACAUGCUAUGGAAGAAGCCACCUACAGAGUUGAUAAGUCUCCUAGCCAGAAUCAGGAGUACCUGUUACAUCCCAAGGAAUUCCAAACACUGAGGCCACAUGAGAGCAGUCAACUUUGAGCAAUAUGAUGGGCUCAUCACUUUCGUAAAUAUCAACAACAUACACUAGAGGUUUGCGUGUCUACAUGCUUACACUGAAACCAUUUUUAAUACUUGACCCUCAAAGUGGUACAAAUUAAAUGAAAGAAGCCAAAAAAGCCUGCAAAUACCUUUGGUAGGACAGUUUGUUUUAAAAAAGAAUUUUUCCAAAUGAGAAAAAACAAGUAUGGAAGAGAGGACUUGGUGAGUACCAAGUGGAAACCUGGCACAAUCCAACAUUCAUUUCAGGAGGAUGGUUCCAGCUGUGGUGUCUUUGUGAUGCUGAUGGCGAAACCGGUGGUGGAAGAGUUCCCAAAAAUUCCUGACAGCAUUAAUAUAAGGAGAUGAUGUGCCACUACAGGAAAAAUGUGGCCAAUGAAAUUUUGCUGGCAUCAGUGUGAAGAGAGGAGUACUGCUCUGUGUGUGGAGAAAAAGAAAGAGCCCAAACAGAGGAGCAAUGCAUCUGGAUUCAAUGUGAAUUAUGCCAGAGGUAGUUUCAUGUUCAGUGCCUCAACAUUAAUCUGCUACCAGAAGAACAAGCAUGGAUUUGUGAUGUGUGUUUGUAAGCUAUUUAGUUAGAGGAGCUGAUGCUGAAAGUGUGUUUCAAUUGUAAGAAAAUUGUUUUGCACUGAUAAGGGACAACGCAAACUAUGAAAACAUAUUUUAUUACAUAAACAGUUUAUACAUAGAAAAUAAUUACAUUUUCGAUUCAUCAAAAUAUCCACCAUUAGCAGCUGAAAACCUGGGCCAAGUUUAAACCAGUAACCAGGCAUCACAGCUGGCAAAGGGGCAUGUCUGACUUUGACUUGUAUAUAUUGCCAUUAUUAUGUAAUCAAAAUGAAAAUUAUUAUUGCUGGUCUUCAAAGAUAAUGUCAAGUUACUUUAAUGUACAGUAUUUGCACCAACAAAAAAUUAUAAGGAUUUAUUCUGAUGUCAUCCAAAACCACACUUUGCCAGGGGUGUUUCCAAACUUUUGGAGGACAGUGUAUGUGUGUAUUUUUAUUCUCAUCCUAUUUUUUAUUGUCUGUGUGUUCUCUUUGCUGGAAGCCUGUGACACUAAAUCAAAUUCCUUGUAUGAGCAAGAAUACUUGGCAAUAAAGCUCUUUCUGAUUCUGAUUCUGAGAAAUGUGUAUUGCCUAUUUGAUAUGUCAUGGAAAUACAUUUUUUUUUUUAGUAUUCUGUUUAUGUUUCAUAUUGUUGUGGUGCUCGUUGUCUUCUGCUGGCCCUUUAUGUGAAUGUAGUUUUUAAAAACACACUUGCAUUUGUGAGGGAGAAAUAAAUGUGACAUUUGAUAUUUUGAUAGUUCACUUUUUAUUUAUUAUCUACAAAAUGCCGACAAGGCCUAAAAUGUUUAUUUCCUAAUUAGGAUGCAAGAAUGCUAAAAAUAUAUAUAUUUUUUUCUGGCCAGGAAAACUUUACCAGACUGCAGCAACAGUGUACUUUGAACAAGCUUUGGAGCUGUUUGUUCCACCGUAUAAGAUUUGAGCUGUAUAGCUGCAUUUCACAGUCAACUAAAUGCA